UAAGGGACGGGCGGUUGCUAUACAUGCAAGUCGAACGCGUUGGCCCAAUUGAUUGAUGGUGCUUGCACCUGAUUGAUUUUGGUCGCCAACGAGUGGCGGACGGGUGAGUAACACGUAGGUAACCUGCCCAGAAGCGGGGGACAACAUUUGGAAACAGAUGCUAAUACCGCAUAACAGCGUUGUUCGCAUGAACAACGCUUAAAAGAUGGCUUCUCGCUAUCACUUCUGGAUGGACCUGCGGUGCAUUAGCUUGUUGGUGGGGUAACGGCCUACCAAGGCGAUGAUGCAUAGCCGAGUUGAGAGACUGAUCGGCCACAAUGGGACUGAGACACGGCCCAUACUCCUACGGGAGGCAGCAGUAGGGAAUCUUCCACAAUGGGCGCAAGCCUGAUGGAGCAACACCGCGUGAGUGAAGAAGGGUUUCGGCUCGUAAAGCUCUGUUGUUAAAGAAGAACACGUAUGAGAGUAACUGUUCAUACGUUGACGGUAUUUAACCAGAAAGUCACGGCUAACUACGUGCCAGCAGCCGCGGUAAUACGUAGGUGGCAAGCGUUAUCCGGAUUUAUUGGGCGUAAAGAGAGUGCAGGCGGUUUUCUAAGUCUGAUGUGAAAGCCUUCGGCUUAACCGGAGAAGUGCAUCGGAAACUGGAUAACUUGAGUGCAGAAGAGGGUAGUGGAACUCCAUGUGUAGCGGUGGAAUGCGUAGAUAUAUGGAAGAACACCAGUGGCGAAGGCGGCUACCUGGUCUGCUACUGACGCUGAGACUCGAAAAGCAUGGGUAGCGAACAGGAUUAGAUACCCUGGUAGUCCAUGCCGUAACGAUGAGUGCUAGGUGUUGGAGGGUUUCCGCCCUUCAGUGCCGGAGCUAACGCAUUAAGCACUCCGCCUGGGGAGUACGACCGCAAGGGUGAAACUCAAAGGAAUUUGACGGGGGCCCGCACAAGCGGUGUAGCAUGUGGUUUAAUUCGAAGCUACGCCGAUAGAACCCUUACCAGGUCUUGACAUCUUGC
rnacentral:rRNA from 1 species